rnacentral:rRNA from 1 species
UUUGAAAUCUGGCGUUUACGUCCGAGUUGUAAUUUGGAGGGGUAUCUUCGGGAGCGACGCCGCCGUAUGUUCCUUGGAACAGGACGUCACAGAGGGUGAGAAUCCCGUGCUUCGGCGGAUCGUAGCGACCAUGUGAAGUGCCUCCGACGAGUCGAGUUGUUUGGGAAUGCAGCUCAAAAUGGGUGGUAAAUUUCAUCUAAAGCUAAAUACCGGCGAGAGACCGAUAGCGCACAAGUAGAGUGAUCGAAAGAUGAAAAGCACUUUGAAAAGAGGGUUAAACAGUACGUGAAAUUGUUGAAAGGGAAGCGCUUGAGAUCGAACUCGGUUCGAUGGACUCAGCCGAGCUUCUGCUCGGUGCACUGUCCACCGACCGGGCCAGCAUCGGUUCUGACGGCGGGAUAAAGGCGUGCGGAAACGUAGCUCACCUCUCGGGGCGAGUGUUAUAGUCCGCCGUCGCAAUGCCGCCAGUCCGGGACCGAGGACCGCGCUUCGGCUAGGAUGCUGGCGGAACGGUCUUAAGCGACCCGUCUUGAAACACGGACCAAGGAGUCUAACAUCUAUGCGAGUGUUCGGGUGGAAAACCCUUGCGCGUAAUGAAAGUGAAUCGAGGUGGGAACCUUCACGGGUGCACCAUCGACCGAUCCGGAUGUCUUCGGAAGGAUUUGAGUAUGAGCAUAGCUGUUGGGACCCGAAAGAUGGUGAACUAUGCCUGAAUAGGGUGAAGCCAGAGGAAACUCUGGUGGAGGCUCGCAGCGGUUCUGACGUGCAAAUCGAUCGUCAAAUUUGGGUAUAGGGGCGAAAGACUAAUCGAACCAUCUAGUAGCUGGUUCCUGCC